ACGAACGCUGGCGGCGUGCUUAACACAUGCAAGUCGAACGAUGAAGAAGAGAAACGCGAACUUCGGUUCAAAUUUCACUUCGGAUUAGUGGCAGACGGGUGAGUAACGCGUGAGCAACCUACCUCUUACAAAGGGAUAGCCUCGGGAAACCGUGAUUAAUACCAUAUGACACAUUCAUAAGGCAUCUUAAGAAUGUUAAAGCUACGGCGGUAAGAGAUGGGCUCGCGUCCCAUUAGCUAGUUGGUGAGGUAACGGCCCACCAAGGCGACGAUGGGUAACCGGCCUGAGAGGGUGAACGGUCACAUUGGAACUGAGACACGGUCCAAACUCCUACGGGAGGCAGCAGUGGGGAAUAUUGAACAAUGGAGGGAACUCUGAUGCAGCGACGCCGCGUGAGCGAUGAAGGAAUUCGUUUCGUAAAGCUCUGUUCUAUGGGAAGAAAAGGACUGUACCAUAGGAGAAAGCCCCGGCUAAAUACGUG
rnacentral:rRNA from 1 species